CGGGAAGUAGCUUAGUUUGGUAGAAGCACUUGGUUUGGGACCAAGGGGUCGCAGGUUCAAAUCCUGUCUUCCCGACCA
rnacentral:tRNA from 1 species